rnacentral:snRNA from 1 species
GAAAAAUGUCAUGAUCACAGAAGUUGUUUUUCGGGUGAGCCUUAUCCAUUGCACUUGGCUGUGCUGACCCCUGCAAUUUCCCCAACUUAUGGUGGCAUAAGUUG